GACGAAGGUGGCAAGCGUUGUUCGGAAUCACUGGGCAUAAAGAGCACGUAGGCGGCUAAGUCAGUCGGAUGUGAAAUACCUCGGCUCAACCGAGGAACUGCGUCCGAUACUGCUUGGCUUGAGGUCCGGAGGGGAGAGUGGAAUUCCCGGUGGAGCGGUGAAAUGCGUAGAGAUCGGGAGGAACAUCUGUGGCGAAGGCGACUACCUGGACCAGCACUGACACUGAGGCACGAAAGCGUGGGGAGCAAACAGG
rnacentral:rRNA from 1 species